UCCCUGGUAGCUCAGUGGUAAAGAAUCUGCUUGCAAUGCAGAAGACCCCAGUUUGAUCCCUGGGUUGGGAA
rnacentral:tRNA from 1 species